AAUGAACGCUGGCGGCAUGCCUAACACAUGCAAGUCGAACGAAGGCUUCGGCCUUAGUGGCGCACGGGUGCGUAACGCGUGGGAAUCUGCCCUCAGGUUCGGAAUAACAGCGAGAAAUUGCUGCUAAUACCGGAUGAUAUCGCGAGAUCAAAGAUUUAUCGCCUGAGGAUGAGCCCGCGUAGGAUUAGCUAGUUGGUGUGGUAAAGGCGCACCAAGGCGACGAUCCUUAGCUGGUCUGAGAGGAUGAUCAGCCACACUGGGACUGAGACACGGCCCAGACUCCUACGGGAGGCAGCAGUGGGGAAUAUUGGACAAUGGGCGAAAGCCUGAUCCAGCAAUGCCGCGUGAGUGAUGAAGGCCUUAGGGUUGUAAAGCUCUUUUACCCGGGAUGAUAAUGACAGUACCGGGAGAAUAAGCUCCGGCUAACUCCGUGCCAGCAGCCGCGGUAAUACGGAGGGAGCUAGCGUUAUUCGGAAUUACUGGGCGUAAAGCGCACGUAGGCGGCUUUGUAAGUUAGAGGUGAAAGCCUGGAGCUCAACUCCAGAAUUGCCUUUAAGACUGCAUCGCUUGAAUCCAGGAGAGGUGAGUGGAAUUCCGAGUGUAGAGGUGAAAUUCGUAGAUAUUCGGAAAGAACACCAGUGGCGAAAGGCGGCUCACUGGGACUGGUAUUGGACGCUGAGGUGCGAAAGCGUGGGGACAAACGGG
rnacentral:rRNA from 1 species